rnacentral:rRNA from 1 species
GACGAACGCUGGCGGCGUGCUUAACACAUGCAAGUCGUACGGUAAGGCCCUUUCGGGGGUACACGAGUGGCGAACGGGUGAGUAACACGUGAGUAACCUGCCCACAACUUUGGGAUAACGCUAGGAAACUGGUGCUAAUACUGGAUAUGUGCUCCUGCUGCAUGGUGGGGGUUGGAAAGCUCCGGCGGUUGUGGAUGGACUCGCGGCCUAUCAGCUUGUUGGUGGGGUAGUGGCCUACCAAGGCGGCGACGGGUAGCCGGCCUGAGAGGGUGACCGGCCACUUUGGGACUGAGAUACGGCCCAGACUCCUACGGGAGGCAGAGGUGGGGAAUAUUGCACAAUGGGCGCAAGCCUGAUGCAGCAACGCCGCGUGCGGGAUGACGGCCUUCGGGUUGUAAACCGCUUUCAGCAGGGACGAAGCUUUUUGUGACGGUACCUGCAGAAGAAGCACCGGCUAACUACGUG